CUGAUGUUCUUUGCUCUGCGCUGAAGGAGGAUUUAUUCUGGGAGCCUGAAUUCCCCCUGCCGUGCUUCUGGAGCUGCCACACUACAGGGGAAGAAAUAAGGACAGGGCAAGGGACACCAACUACCCAAUUAAAAUCACUGAACAGUGACACUGGAAAUCCAAGUCAAGCUUUGUUUUCUGCUUUGAUCCCCAGAAGCCCACCGCUGUGAAGCAGGCCUCUUAUCUUCAUAUGCAACUGGAAAAAGCCUGCAUCAGCAAGAGAGCGUGGUCUGUGCUGCUCUGGUACCUGCAGCAUUCAACAAUAGGUGCUGCAAGCACAGGGCUGCUGCCACUGCCAUUACCCUUGUGCCAGAAGUCUGUCAAGCAGCUGCUCUCUCUAAACUGCCCUGCUUAAUAGUGCCUUCCUUUUUUUCCCUUCUGCCCCUCCGGGGACUCAUAUUUCUCACCUCCCACUGAAACACUUAUUGGAAAGUAUAUCCUUCACCUCUGGCCUCAGUGUCCCCUUCCCCAGGCUGGAAAAUCAUCGAUGAUGGGGGUGGAGGGUGGCAGCUUGUUCUCAGCUCAUCAAUCUAUCACACAUGUCACAAACCUCUGCAGAGGCGAGCUGGCUCCAACCCUCAUUUAUUUGCAAGUGCAGAGGAUGUUUGUGUUUGAUCGGAUAUGAUGGAUAAAUGAUUUCAAGCUGUGGGUUUCAUUUCAUCACUAAUCACAGAUACGGGUUGCAAUCCUGUUCAUGAUGUCAGCGGCUAAACUUCUAUUGACCUCCGUGGCAAGACGGGACACCGGUCACCCUGAAAUAAAUAAAUCAAAGGGGACACAGGAGGGGGAGAUGUAAGAUGACAAUGGCGCUGAUAUUAUCCUUAACUUUAAUCCUGGUCUGGGGAUUCACGUAUGAAAGCGAUACGUGCUUUCCUGUGUUACUAGGAGCUGUGAAGCAGGAACGUGUCAUUAAGGAGUCUCAACAUUCCAGAGAAGAUAAAUCCCAGAAAUUUCCAAACGAGGCACAGAAUGCUCUUAUAACGUCAGUCAGACUUUGCUAACAGCUUUGUAAACUCUCUGCCUCCUGCACAAAGCCCGCCUGUGGGGCUCCCUCCAUGCUGCUGGAAGUCACUCUGCAGUGCUCAGAGCUGCUGGCGCAGCCUUCUGCCUCCAGCAUCAUUGCCUUCCCUUUUCCCCCGUGCACACAAAGUACCCAGACUCCCUUUCCAAUGGCAUGAAGACUCUCACUUCUCUUCAAGUCAUAUG
ensembl:lncRNA